GAACCAAAGGGAGUGAGUGGAGAGCCGAUGUCCUCAUGGCGGCCAUUGUCCCCUUUGCAUCCCUGCCCACAGACACCAGGCCCUGCCCCCCUCCCUGUGGAACUGCCCCCUACCUUGCUUCCAGGUGUGACUUCACAAACUAUCGGGUUCCACAGUAUCCUGGAGCUCAAGGCUGCUAAGUCUGAAGGAUUUCAAGAGAUAUACAGACUAUGGCAAAGAGGACAGGAGUGGAGACCCUCUUCUUUGUUCUCUUCCUGGACUGUUGGCAAGGCCUCUGUGGCUGGCUUCUUUCCUACCAGUCUCAGAUGAGAAAACCAAAUCCCACAGAACUUUACUGCCCCAGGUCACAAGGCACUCAAAAGGUGGACUAGAACCCAUGUCUGGUGCUCUUUCUCCUAAAGCAGGCUCAAAUACUGAAUUUUCAUCAAGUUCAAAAAAUUUGGAUGAAGGUUUGGCUAAACUAUUUGAUGAAAUUCAACUGCAAGUGUUUUCCAAAGUUCCAUUUGAUGAUACAAGAACAGCAGGCAAGUCAAUUACAAAGAGAGAAGUUAAGGAAAGCAAGUAUAUGCCUUUAAAAUUAUAAGUGUACAUACUUAUAAAACCUAUGUGUUGUA